GCGACCCCAGGACGGGCGAGGCUACCCGCUGAGUUUAAGCAUAUCAAUAAGCGGAGGAGAAG
rnacentral:rRNA from 1 species